AACGCGAAGAACCUUACCAGGUCUUGACAUCCUCUGAUAACUCUGGAGACAGAGCGUUCCCCUUCGGGGGACAGAGUGACAGGUGGUGCAUGGUUGUCGUCAGCUCGUGUCGUGAGAUGUUGGGUUAAGUCCCGCAACGAGCGCAACCCCUGUCCCAUGUUGCCAGCGAGUUAUGUCGGGGACUCAUGGGAGACUGCCGGUGACAAAUCGGAGGAAGGUGGGGAUGAUGUCAAGUCAUCAUGCCCCUUGUGUCCUGGGCUACACACGUGCUACAUUGGCCGGUACAGAGGGCUGCAAACUCGCGAGGGUGAGCGAAUCCCAAAAAGCCGGUCUCGGUUCGGAUUGAAGGCUGAAACUCGCCUUCAUGAAGGCGGAGUCGCUAGUAAUCGCAGAUCAGCAAUGCUGCGGUGAAUACGUUCCCGGGCCUUGUACACACCG
rnacentral:rRNA from 1 species